GAGAGAAACAGAGAAAGAAGAGAGAGAAGAGAGAGAAGAGAGAGAAGAGAGAGAAGAUAGAGAAGAGAGAGAGAGGGAGUGAAACAGAGAGAGAGAAGAGAGAGAAGAGAGAGGGAGUGAAACAGAGAAAGAGAAGAGAGAGAAGAGAGAGAGAGAAAGAGGGAGGGAGUGAAACAGAGAAAGAGAAGAGAGAGAAGAGAGAGAAGAGGGAGGGAGUGAAACAGAGAGAGAAGAGAGAGAAGAGAGAGAGAGGGAAGAGAGGGAGUGAAACAGAGAAAGAGAAGAGAGAGAAGAGAGAGAAGAGAGAGAAGAGAGAGAAGAGAGAGAAGAGAGAGAGAGGGAUGAAACAGAGAAAGAGAAGAGAGAGAAGAGAGAGAAGAGAGAGAGAGGGAGUG
ensembl:lncRNA